rnacentral:misc_RNA from 1 species
UUUCCGUCGGUGAACCUACGGAAGGAUCAAUGAAGAGUUCUUUGUUAAACUAUUGUGAAGUUGUACUCAUACCCAUCAAGAACUAGGUACUUGGGUUGUCUGCAUUUGCAUUGUUUAGAUUUGUUUCCUUUGCUGCCUUCAGUUCACUUCAUUUGAAAUAAGAAGUAAAGUAAAAAUAAUAGACAACACGGUUUGUGCCAAGGAUAGUCAUUGUUGAACUGCAUUGGCAUCUUUUUGAUAUGCUUUGUGUUAUUCCACAAGCUUGAAUGACUUUUGGCAACGUAUAUCCUAGCUCCC